GGACAAGGUGCUCCGAACUAAUUCAUCCACAAACUUGCUCUCGGAACUUCAAGUCACCACUUGUAAACCGUUGAUGAUGAUGCUAUAAAAGAAGUAGCGUUGAUGCCUAGAUACACAUAUAGACGUUAGGGUUGAAUAUGUUGUAUCAAAUUUUGUUAUGUUAUCAUGUUGUAUUGGUUAAACUUGUUGUAUUUGGAAUUUCUUGUAAUGUUGACUAUGUUAUGA
rnacentral:lncRNA from 1 species